rnacentral:sRNA from 1 species
UUAUCGGUUUGUUUGAUGUUACAGCCAAGGGUCUGUAGCUCAGGUGGUUAGAGCACCGUCUUGAUAAGGCGGGGGUCGUAGGUUCAAGUCCUACCAGACCCACCAAGUUACGGGCGGCGGAGAGCGAUCUUGCCGUGAACUGGGGGAUUAGCUCAGCUGGGAGAGCACCUGCUUUGCAAGCAGGGGGUCGUCGGUUCGAUCCCGUCAUCCUCCACCAACACCUUGUGGUAGCCAAACGCAAGCAUCGAGAGAUCGGUGUUUGCGUUUGGCAUUGCCAAGACGAGUAGUAACUCGGCUGUUCUUUAACAAUAUGGAAUGUAGUAAAGGUGUCGCGGCGCGUUGAUGAGGCGCGCAAUUUAAACGCGACACUGGGUUGUGAUUGUAUCAACCAGUAUUACGAGUGAUCGAAAGACCGCUUGGAAUACGGCACAACGCGAGAACUCAGCCUAUAGCGAGACAUACUCGUUAUAGGGUCAAGCGAAUAAGUGCAUGUGGUGGAUGCCUUGGCGAUCACAGGCGAUGAAGGACGUAGUAGCUUGCGAAAAGCUGCGGGGAGCUGGCAAACGAGCUUUGAUCCGCAGAUGUCCGAAUGGGGAAACCCGGCCCGUAUGGGUCAUCCCUUGCUGAAUACAUAGGCAAGGGAGGCGAACGCAGUGAACUGAAACAUCUAAGUAGCUGCAGGAAAAGAAAUCAACCGAGAUUCCCAAAGUAGUGGCGAGCGAAAUGGGAACAGCCUUGUACUCUUUAGCAGUAUUGUUAGCGGAACGGAAUGGAAAGUCCGGCCAUAGUGGGUGAUAGCCCCGUACGCGAAAACAGUAUUGUGGAACUAGGUGUACGACAAGUAGGGCGGGACACGUGAAAUCCUGUCUGAAGAUGGGGGGACCAUCCUCCAAGGCUAAAUACUCGUGAUCGACCGAUAGUGAACCAGUACCGUGAGGGAAAGGCGAAAAGAACCCCGGGAGGGGAGUGAAAUAGAUCCUGAAACCGCAUGCAUACAAACAGUCGGAGCCUGGAAACGGGUGACGGCGUACCUUUUGUAUAAUGGGUCAGCGACUUACAUUCAGUGGCAAGCUUAACCGAUUAGGGAAGGCGUAGCGAAAGCGAGUCCGAAUAGGGCGUUCAGUCGCUGGGUGUAGACCCGAAACCAAGUGAUCUAUCCAUGGCCAGGUUGAAGGUGCGGUAACACGUACUGGAGGACCGAACCCACUAACGUUGAAAAGUUAGGGGAUGAGCUGUGGAUAGGGGUGAAAGGCUAAACAAACUUGGAAAUAGCUGGUUCUCUCCGAAAACUAUUUAGGUAGUGCCUCGUGUCUCACCUUCGGGGGUAGAGCACUGUCAUGGUUGGGGGGUCUAUUGCUGAUUACCCCGCCAUAGCAAACUCCGAAUACCGAAGAGUGCAAUCACGGGAGACAGACAUCGGGUGCUAACGUCCGGUGUCAAGAGGGAAACAACCCAGACCGCCAGCUAAGGUCCCUAAGAUUGGCUAA